rnacentral:rRNA from 1 species
UUGCGGUUAAAAAGCUCGUAGUUGGAUUUCUGUCCGAGGCAGCCGGUCCGCACCUGGUGCGUGUAUCUGGUUUGGCUAGGGCAUCCUCUUGGGGAACGUCUCUGUGCUUGAUUGCAUGGGGCGGAAUUCAAGACUUUUACUUUGAGGAAAUUAGAGUGUUCACGGCAAGCUAUCGCUUUGAAUACAUUAGCAUGGAAUAAUAAUAUAGGGCGUAAGUUCUAUUUUGUUGGUUUCUAGGACAUACGCAAUGAUUAAUAGGGACAAUUGGGGGCAUUCGUAUUAACGCGUCAGAGGUGGAAUUCUUAGAUUGCGUUACGACGAACUACUGCGAAAGCAUUUGCCAAGGAUGUUUUCAUUGAUCAAGAACGAAAGUAUGGGGAUCGAAGACGAUUAGAUACCGUCGUAGUCUAUACCAUAAACUAUGCCAAUUAGAGAUUGGAGGUCGUUCGUUUUAUGACUCCUUCAGCACCUUAUGAGAAAUCAAAAUUUUUGGGUUCCGGGGGGAAUAU